rnacentral:rRNA from 2 species
CACGUAGGGCGCGAGCGUUGUCCGGAAUUAUUGGGCGUAAAGAGCUCGUAGGCGGCCUGUUGCGUCCGCUGUGAAAGCCCGGGGCUUAACCCCGGGUCGGCAGUGGAUACGGGCAGGCUAGAGGUAGGUAGGGGAGAAUGGAAUUCCCGGUGUAGCGGUGAAAUGCGCAGAUAUCGGGAGGAACACCGGUGGCGAAGGCGGUUCUCUGGGCCUUACCUGACGCUGAGGAGCGAAAGCGUGGGGAGCGAACAGG